rnacentral:rRNA from 1 species
UACGUAGGGACCAAGCGUUGUUCGGAUUUACUGGGCGUAAAGGGCGCGUAGGCGGCGUGGUAAGUCACUUGUGAAAUCUCUGAGCUUAACUCAGAACGGCCAAGUGAUACUGCUGUGCUAGAGUGCAGAAGGGGCAAUCGGAAUUCUUGGUGUAGCGGUGAAAUGCGUAGAUAUCAAGAGGAACACCUGAGGUGAAGACGGGUUGCUGGGCUGACACUGACGCUGAUGCGCGAAAGCGUGGGGAGCAAACAGG